rnacentral:rRNA from 1 species
CUGCAACUCGCCUGCAUGAAGUUGGAAUUGCUAGUAAUCGCGAAUCAGAAUGUCGCGGUGAAUACGUUCCCGGGCCUUGUACACACCGCCCGUCACACCAUGAGAGUCGAUAACACCCGAAGCCUGUGAGCUAACCGUAAGGAGGCAGCAGUCGAAGGUGGGGUUGAUGAUUGGGGUGAAGUCGUAACAAGGUACC